rnacentral:rRNA from 1 species
CAGUCGCCGCGGGAAUACGAAGGGGGCUAGCGUUGCUCGGAAUGACUGGGCGUAAAGCGUGCGUAGGCGGCUUCUUAAGUCGGAUGUGAAAUCCCUGAGCUUAACUUAGGAAUUGCAUUCGAUACUGGGAAGCUAGAGUAUGGGAGAGGAUGGUAGAAUUCCAGGUGUAGCGGUGAAAUGCGUAGAGAUCUGGAGGAAUACCGAUGGCGAAGGCAGCCAUCUGGCCUAAUACUGACGCUGAGGUACGAAAGCAUGGGGAGCAAACAGGAUUAGAUACCCCCGUAGUCCCUGUCUCUUAUAC